rnacentral:snoRNA from 1 species
GUUCUAUGAUGACUGUUUAGAUGACGAGUCGUAAAUACCUUGACGACAAUAUAGCGAGGCAUUUGUCUGAGAACC